rnacentral:rRNA from 1 species
AUUGAACGCUGGCGGCAUGCUUUACACAUGCAAGUCGAACGGCAGCGCGGGCUUCGGCCUGGCGGCGAGUGGCGAACGGGUGAGUAAUACAUCGGAACGUGCCCAGUAGUGGGGGAUAGCUCGGCGAAAGCCGGAUUAAUACCGCAUACGACCUGAGGGUGAAAGCGGGGGAUCUUCGGACCUCGCGCUAUUGGAGCGGCCGAUGGCAGAUUAGCUAGUUGGUGGGGUAAAGGCCUACCAAGGCGACGAUCUGUAGCUGGUCUGAGAGGACGACCAGCCACACGAGGACUGAACCACGGCCCAGACUCCUACGGGAGGCAGCAGUGGGGAAUUUUGGACAAUGGGCGAAAGCCUGAUCCAGCAAUGCCGCGUGUGUGAUGAAGGCCUUCGGGUUGUAAAGCACUUUUGGCGGGAACGAAAAGGACUGUGCCAAUACCACGGUUCGAUGACGGUACCCGCAGAAUAAGCACCGGCUAACUACGUG